rnacentral:rRNA from 1 species
CUUGAAACACGGACCAAGGAGUUUAUCGUGUACGCAAGUCAUUGGGUGUAUAAAACCCAUAGGCGAAAUGAAAGUAAAGAGUAGAGUUUUGUAAAAAAGUUUACUCUUUUACAUUCUCUCUUAAGGGAAGAUGAAAAUAUCAUAUAUUUAUGUAUAUGAAAAUUUUCCGCACUCCCAGGGCGCUUGUAUCUUGCUUUGCGAGUCGAUGCGCACCUAGAGCGUACACGCUGAUACCCGAAAGAUGGUGAACUAUGCCUGGCCAGGACGAAGCCAGGGGAAACCCUGGUGGAGGUCCGCAGCGAUUCUGACGUGCAAAUCGAUCGUCGGAGCUGGGUAUAGGGGCGAAAGACCAAUCGAACCAUCUAGUAGCUGGUUCCCUCUGAAGUUUCCCUCAGGAUA